ACUGCUGCUCUGAGAGGGAGGGAGGACAACAAGCCUUCCUCUGUUACUGGCUGGUUAAACUGCUGCUCUGAGAGGGAGGACAACAAGCCUUCCUCUGUUACUGGCUGGUUAAACUACUGCUCUGAGAGAGAGGACAACAAGCCUUCCUCUGUUACUGGCUGGUUAAACUGCUGCUCUGAGAGGGAGGACAACAAGCCUUCCUCUGUUACUGGCUGGUUAAACUGCUGCUCUGAGAGGGAGGACAACAAGCCUUCCUCUGUUACUGGCUGGUUAAACUACUGCUCUGAGAGGGAGGACAACAAGCCUUCCUCUGUUACUGGCUGGUUAAACUGCUGCUCUGAGAGGGAGGACAACAAGCCUUCCUCUGUUACUGGCUGGCUAAACUGCUGCUCUGAGAGGGAGGACAACAAGCCUUCCUCUGUUACUGGCUGGUUAAACUGCUGCUCUGAGAGGGAGGGAGGACAACAAGCCUUCCUCUGCUGCUCUGAGAGGAGGGAGGGAGACAGAGGGGGGAGAUGGAGGGAGACAGAGAGGGGGAGAGACUUGUUACUGGCUGGUGCUGGCUAGCCUGCUGGUCUGGAGGGAGGAAGGUAGUGAGGGGGAGAGGGAGGGAGGGGAAAGGAGCGGAGAGUGAUAGGGAGGGGAGAGAGUGAUAGGGAGGGGAGAGAGUGAUAGGGAGAGGAGAGGAGAGGAGAGGAGAAAAACGAGAGAGGGAGGGAGAGGAGAGGAGAGGAGAGGGAGGGAGAGGAGAGAGCGCGAGAGAGAGAGAGAGAGAGAGAGAGAGAGAGGGAGGGAGGGAGAUGAAAGAGCAAAAGAGACCGCUCAGCAGUGCCAUUCCUCCUCAGCCCUCCACCUGCAGACCCACGGGCCAAUCAGACCCAGUGGACUCUGUCGCCGGGCAGACAACACAGACCUCUCAGCUGAACUUCACCGCCUGGAUGGAAAUGAAAGGGAGUCAUUUUGCAGAGAAUUUGAGUUUUUUCCUUUGUAUGAUUUGAGUGUGAGUACCUUCUGAC
rnacentral:lncRNA from 1 species